AGUCACUGACAUUAGAUACCCGCGUAGUCCAGGGUGUAAACGCUGCAGACUUGGUGUUGGAAGCCCUUUGGGGGCAUUCAGUGCCGGAGAGAAGUUGUUAAGUCUGCUACUUGGGAGUACGUCCGCAAGGAUGAAACUUAAGGAAUUGGCGGGGGGAGCACCGCAACGGGAGGAGCGUGCGGUUUAAUUGGAUUCAACACCGUAAACUCACCAGGGAAGACUGUUACAUGAAGGCCGAGAUGAAGACUCUGCUAGAUUUUCAG
rnacentral:rRNA from 1 species